rnacentral:rRNA from 2 species
GUGCGAGACCGAUAGCGAACAAGUACCGUGAGGAAAAGAUGAAAAGAACUUUGAAAAGAGAGUUAAAGAGUACCUGAAACUGCUGAAAGGGAACCGAAUCGUUUCCAGUGUCUAUAAUCCAUGGUAUAUUUCAUUGGCGAGUGAGUGCGUGCAGCGUUUUGGAAGUGGUUUCCGCUCCUGUCGUUGUUGUGCAUUUGCUUGCUGGUGCCCUGUGCUGUGGUGGGACGUCAGAGUCAGUUUGUAUGUUGCGGGAAAUGGUUAUUGGGGAGGUAGGUCGCUUCGGUGGCUGUUAUAUCCUGGUAACUAGUUGUCGUGGCUGAGACUGAGGUGCUUACAACGUGCUUUCGAGUCUGCGGGUUUCUCGUGUGGCUGUUUGCUUUGAUAGCUUGCUAUGUUGGUGAAUAUGUCGUGCGAUUGAGAUUUGGUAGUAACUUGUUGCUGUUCGGGACUUUGA